rnacentral:rRNA from 1 species
GUGAGGAAUAUUGCGCAAUGGGGGCAACCCUGACGCAGCAACGCAGCGUGAGUGAGGAAGGUUUUCGGACCGUAAAGCUCUGUCGAGCGGGAAGAAAUGCAUAGUGGCUAAUAUCCAUUAUGCUUGACGGUACCGCUAAAGGAAGCACCGGCUAACUCCGUGCCAGCAGCCGCGGUACUACGGGGGGUGCUAGCGUUGGUCGGAAUCAUGGGGCGUAAAGAGCGUGUAGGCGGCUGGAUAAGUCAGAUGUGAAAGCCCUGGGCUUAACCCAGGAAGUGCAUUUGAAACUGUUCAGCUUGAGUAAGGGAGAGGAAAGUGGAAUUCCUGGUGUAGAGGUGAAAUUCGUAGAUAUCAGGAGGAACACCGGUGGCGAAGGCGACUUUCUGGCCCUAUACUGACGCUGAGACGCGAGAGCGUGGGUAGCAAACAGGAUUAGAUACCCUAGUAGUCC